UAUUCAGUUACAUUAUUUUUAUGUUGUGACCUCUGAGCUCCAGAUUGGGACAGAGGGAAUCAGCAUAAUUUUUUGUGGUGCAUUUACUUGAUUGGUGCUUGGGGAUGUUUGAGGCAGAUUUGUUUCCGUCGUUUUGAGGCCAGCUUGCUGGUACCCAAACGGUGUUAGCAUUUUUUGUCUUGGGCAUUUGAGUAUGGCUCACGUGUAUUUAUUGGACAGAUCUGAGUGUAAGUUACGGUCGCAUGCGACACGUGCUUUUCAAUUAGUUCGGUCCAGUUAAUGCUCUCGUACUCGUUCCCCAUGUAAAAGCCGGUCAUCUAUCCGACCCGUCUUGAAACACGGACCAAGGAGUUUAUCGUGUGCGCAAGUUUUUGGGUGUUAAAAACUUAAAAGCGAAAUGAAAGUAAAUGACUCUUUAGAGUCUGAUGUGCGAUCUUGUAAAAAAGUGUAGCAUGGCCCCAUUCUAACUGUUUACAGUAGGGUGGCGGAAGAGCGUACGCGGUGAGACCCGAAAGAUGGUGAACUAUUCCUGAGCAGGACGAAGCCAGAGGAAACUCUGGUGGAAGUCCGAAGCGGUUCUGACGUGCAAAUCGAUCGUCUGACUUGGGUAUAGGGGCGAAAGACUAAUCGAACCAUCUAGUAGCU
rnacentral:rRNA from 1 species